AACGAACGCUGGCGGCAUGCCUAACACAUGCAAGUCGAACGAGAUCUUCGGGUCUAGUGGCGCACGGGUGCGUAACGCGUGGGAAUCUGCGCUUUGGUUCGGAAUAACCGUUGGAAACGACUGCUAAUACCGGAUGAUGACGAAAGUCCAAAGAUUUAUCGCCAGAGGAUGAGCCCGCGUAGGAUUAGCUAGUUGGUGUGGUAAAGGCGCACCAAGGCGACGAUCCUUGGCUGGUCUGAGAGGAUGAUCAGCCACACUGGGACUGAGACACGGACCAGACUCCUACGGGAGGCAGCAGUGGGGAAUAUUGGACAAUGGGCGAAAGCCUGAUCCAGCAAUGCCGCGUGAGUGAUGAAGGCCUUAGGGUUGUAAAGCUCUUUUACCCGGGAUGAUAAUGACAGUACCGGGAGAAUAAGCUCCGGCUAACUCCGUGCCAGCAGCCGCCGUAA
rnacentral:rRNA from 1 species